rnacentral:rRNA from 1 species
UACGUAGGGGGGCAAGCGUUGCCCGGAAUUAUUGGGCGUAAAGAGCGCGUAGGCGGUCCGAUAAGUCGGCUGUGAAAGUCAGGGGCUCAACCCUUGAAAGCCGGCCGAUACUGUCGGACUAGAGUCCGGAAGAGGCAAGUGGAAUUCCCGGUGUAGCGGUGAAAUGCGCAGAUAUCGGGAGGAACACCAAUGGCGAAGGCAGCUUGCUGGGACGGUACUGACGCUGAGGCGCGAAAGCGUGGGGAGCGAACAGG